rnacentral:rRNA from 1 species
AAACCAGCACCUCAAGUGGUCAGGAGGAUUAUUGGGCCUAAAGCAUCCGUAGCCUGUUCUAUAAGUUUCCGGUUAAAUCCAUUAGCUCAACUAAUGGGCCGCCGAAAAUACUGUAGAACUAGGGAGUGGGAGAGGUAGACGGUAUUCGGUAGGAAGGGGUAAAAUCCUUUGAUCUAUUGAGGACCACCUGUGGCGAAGGCGGUCUACCAGAACACGUUCGACGGUGAGGGAUGAAAGCUGGGGGAGCAAACCGGAUUAGAAACCCCGGUAGUCC